rnacentral:rRNA from 1 species
ACCUACGGGGGGCAGCAGUGAGGAAUAUUGGUCAAUGGCCGGAAGGCUGAACCAGCCAAGCCGCGUGAAGGACGAAGGUGCCAAGCAUUGUAAACUUCUUUUGUCAAGGGACAAAAUCAGGCUCGAGAGCCUGACCGAGGGUACUUGAAGAAAAAGCAUCGGCUAACUCCGUGCCAGCAGCCGCGGUAAUACGGAGGAUGCGAGCGUUAUCCGGAUUUAUUGGGUUUAAAGGGUGCGUAGGCGGGCUGUUAAGUCAGCGGUAAAAGCCCGGGGCCCAACUGCGGGACUGCUUUGGAAACUGCCCG